rnacentral:rRNA from 1 species
UGCAUAUCAAUAAGCGGAGGAAAAGAAACUAACAAGGAUUCCCCUAGUAACGGCGAGUGAAGCGGGAAAAGCUCAAAUUUGUAAUCUGGCGCCUUUGGCGUCCGAGUUGUAAUCUCGAGAAGUAUUUUCCGCGCUGGACCGCACAUAAGUCUGUUGGAAUACAGCGUCAUAGUGGUGAGAACCCCGUAUAGGGUGCGGAUGCCCAGUGCUUUGUGAUAUACUUUCGAAGAGUCGAGUUGUUUGGGAAUGCAGCUCAAAUUGGGUGGUAAAUUCCAUCUAAAGCUAAAUAUUGGCGAGAGACCGAUAGCGAACAAGUACCGUGAGGGAAAGAUGAAAAGCACUUUGGAAAGAGAGUUAACAGUACGUGAAAUUGUUGGAAGGGAAACGCUUGAAGUCAGACUUGCAUUUUGGAGUUCAGCCGUAAGGUGUAUUCUUCAAUUCGCAGGCCAGCAUCAGUUUUUGGGGGUGGAAAAUCGUGGUUUGAAGGUAGCAGUCUCGGCUGUGUUAUAGCUUUCCACUGGAUUCACUUUUGGGGACUGAGGAACGCAGUACGCUUUUUGCAAGAUUCUCGGAUCUUUCGUACUUAGGAUGCUGGUGGAAUGGCUUUAAACGACCCGUCUUGAAACACGGACCA